rnacentral:misc_RNA from 1 species
GAUUAUUAUGUAAUUUAAUGGAAACGCACAUUCUUCAUCACUGGAUAUCUUGUCUAAACUCUCUGCAUUUUUCACCUCUUGAUGUUAUUCCUUCUUUUUUUAACUCGUUGUCUGAUGUACAUAUUUCUGGAGAGCUAUAGGCGUUCAAUUAGAGGAAAAAACUCCUUUUUUGAAUCUGAUAAUAGGGAAUGAUGGUGCAAGUUUGAGGAGAAGUAUUCACUUUAUAUUUGCAUUGAACUCUAUGCGACCACUGAGCAGUCAAUUACAUAUUUCUGGAGAGCUAUAGGCGUUCAAUUAGAGGAAAAAACUCCUUUUUUGAAUCUGAUAAUAG